rnacentral:tRNA from 1 species
GGAAGGAUGGCCGAGUGGCUGAAGGCAGCGGUCUUGAAAACCGCCGAUGGGAAACCAUCCUAGAGUUCGAAUCUCUCCUCCUCCGCCA